rnacentral:rRNA from 1 species
GACGAACGCUGGCGGCGUGCCUAAUACAUGCAAGUAGAACGCUGAAGGAGGAGCUUGCUUCUCUGGAUGAGUUGCGAACGGGUGAGUAACGCGUAGGUAACCUGCCUGGUAGCGGGGGAUAACUAUUGGAAACGAUAGCUAAUACCGCAUAAUAGUAGAUGUUGCAUGACAUUUGCUUAAAAGGUGCAAUUGCAUCACUACCAGAUGGACCUGCGUUGUAUUAGCUAGUUGGUGGGGUAACGGCUCACCAAGGCGACGAUACAUAGCCGACCUGAGAGGGUGAUCGGCCACACUGGGACUGAGACACGGCCCAGACUCCUACGGGAGGCAGCAGUAGGGAAUCUUCGGCAAUGGACGGAAGUCUGACCGAGCAACGCCGCGGGAGUGAAGAAGGUUUUCGGAUCGUAAAGCUCUGUUGUAAGAGAAGAACGAGUGUGAGAGUGGAAAGUUCACACUGUGACGGUAGCUUACCAGAAAGGGACGGCUAACUACGUG